rnacentral:rRNA from 1 species
UACGGAGGGGGCUAGCGUUGUUCGGAAUUACUGGGCGUAAAGCGCGCGUAGGCGGACCUGCAAGUCGGGGGGUGAAAGCCCGAGGCUCAACCUCGGAACUGCCUUCGAUACUGCGGGUCUCGAGUCCGGGAGAGGUGAGUGGAAUUCCUAGUGUAGAGGUGAAAUUCGUAGAUAUUAGGAAGAACACCAGUGGCGAAGGCGGCUCACUGGCCCGGUACUGACGCUGA